GUGAGGAAUAUUGCGCAAUGGAGGCAACUCUGACGCAGCCAUGCCGCGUGCAGGAAGAAGGCGCUACGCGGUGUAAACUGCUUUUAACCGGGAAGAAACCCCAGGACGUGUCCUGGGUUGACGGUACCGGAGGAAUAAGCACCGGCUAACUUCGUGCCAGCAGCCGCGGUAAUACGAAGGGUGCAAGCGUUAUCCGGAUUCAUUGGGUUUAAAGGGUGCGUAGGCGGAGCGUUAAGUCAGUGGUGAAGUCCUGCAGCUUAACUGUAGACUUGCCAUGGUUACUGGCGCUCUCGAGUGCGCUUGAAGUGGGCGGAAUGUGCCGUGUAGCGGUGAAAUGCUUAGAUAUGGCACAGAACACCAAUUGCGAAGGCAGCUCACUAAGGCGAUACUGACGCUGAGGCACGAAAGCGUGGGGAUCGAACAGGAUUAGAAACCCGGGUAGUCC
rnacentral:rRNA from 1 species